rnacentral:rRNA from 1 species
GCUAAACGCGAAGAACCUUACCUGGUCUUGACAUGUCUGGAAUCCCGAAGAGAUUUGGGAGUGCCGCAAGGAACCAGAACACAGGUGCCGCAUGGCUGUCGUCAGCUCGUGUCGUGAGAUGUUGGGUUAAGUCCCGCAACGAGCGCAACCCUUGUCCUUAGUUGCCAUCAUUUAGUUGGGAACUCUAAGGAGACCGCCGGUGACAAACCGGAGGAAGGUGGGGAUGACGUCAAGUCAUCAUGGCCUUUAUGACCAGGGCUACACACGUGCUACAAUGGCAGGUACAGAGGGAAGCCAACCAGCAAUGGGGAGCCAAUCCCAGAAAGCCUGUCUUAGUCCGGAUUGGAGUCUGCAACUCGACUCCAUGAAGCUGGAAUCGCUAGUAAAUCGCAGAUCAGCAUUGCUGCGGUG